rnacentral:rRNA from 1 species
UAGCAUAUCAAUAAGCGGAGGAAAAGAAACUAACAAGGAUUUCCCCUAGUAACUGCGAGUGAAGCGGGAAAAGCUCAAAUUUAAAAUCUGGCGGUCUUUGGCUGUCCGAGUUGUAGUCUGGAGAAGUGCUUUCCGCGCUGGACCGUGUACAAGUCUCCUGGAAUGGAGCGUCAUAGAGGGUGAGAAUCCCGUCUUUGACACGGACUACCAGUGCUCUGUGAUGCGCUCUCAAAGAGUCGAGUUGUUUGGGAAUGCAGCUCAAAAUGGGUGGUGAAUUCCAUCUAAAGCUAAAUAUUGGCGAGAGACCGAUAGCGAACAAGUACCGUGAGGGAAAGAUGAAAAGCACUUUGGAAAGAGAGUUAAACAGUACGUGAAAUUGUUGAAAGGGAAACGCUUGAAGUCAGUCGCGUUUGCCAGAACUCAGCCUAGCUUCGGCUUGGUGUACUUUCUGGUGAACGGGCCAGCAUCAAUUUUGACUGUCGGAUAAUGGCAAGGGGAAUGUGGCACCUUCGGGUGUGUUAUAGCCCCUUGUCGCAUACGGCGGUUGGGAUUGAGGAAUUCGGCAUCCCCUUGUGGUUGAUGCUUAGGAUGCUGGCGUAAUGGCUUUAAACGACCCGUCUUGAAACACGGACCAAGGAGUCUAACAUGCCCGCGAGUGUUCGGGUGGAAAACCCGUGCGCGUAAUGAAAGUGAAAGUUGGGACCUCUGUUGUGGAGGGCACCGACGCCCGGACCAGACCUUCUGUGACGGAUCCGCGGUAGAGCGUGUAUGUUGGGACCCGAAAGAUGGUGAACUAUGCCUGAAUAGGGGUGAAGCCAGAGGAAACUCUGGUGGAGGCUCGUAGCGAUUUCUGACGUGCAAAUCGAUCGUCAAAUUUGGGGUAUAGGGGGCGAAAGACUAAUCCGAAGCCAUCUAGUAGCCUGGGUUCCCUGGCCGAAAG